rfam:Ovis aries breed Texel chromosome 3, whole genome shotgun sequence.
UCUCUGGUGGUCCAGUGGCUAAGACUCUGCACUCCCAAUGCAGGCGACCCGGGUUCAAAUCCUGGUCAAGGAA